CUGACGAGCCGUGAUGUCAUUCAUUUGGUGUUACGGGGAGUCAGGACUGUUACUUUGAAAAAAUUAGAGUCGUUUAAAGCAGGCAAUCGCUCGAAUACAUUAGCAUGGAAUAAUGAAAUAGGACGUUCGAACCUAUUUUGUUGGUUUCUAGGAUCGACGUAAUGAUUAAUAGGGAUAGUUGGGGGCAUUAGUACUCAAUUGUCAGAGGUGAAAUUCUUGGAUUUAUUGAAGACUAACUACUGCGAAAGCAUUUGCCAAGGAUGUUUUCAUUAAUCAAGAACGAAAGUUAGGGGAUCGAAGACGAUCAGAUACCGUCGUAGUCUUAACCAUAAACUAUGCCGACUAGGGAUCGGAUGAUGUUAAUUUUUUAAUGACUCAUUCGGCGCCUUACG
rnacentral:rRNA from 1 species